rnacentral:rRNA from 1 species
UACGAAGGGGACUAGCGUUGUUCGGAAUUACUGGGCGUAAAGCGUGCGUAGACGGUUAUUUAAGUCAGGUGUGAAAUCCCAGGGCUUAACCUUGGAACUGCAUUUGUGACUGCAUAGCUAGAGUACGGUAGAGGGGGAUGGAAUUCCGCGUGUAGCAGUGAAAUGCGUAGAUAUGCGGAGGAACACCGAUGGCGAAGGCAAUCCCCUGGACCUGUACUGACGCUCAUGCACGAAAGCGUGGGGGAGCAAACAGG